rnacentral:misc_RNA from 1 species
GAUGAAGAACGUAGCGAAAUGCGAUAAGUAAUGUGAAUUGCAGAAUUCAGUGAAUCAUCGAAUCUUUGAACGCACAUUGCGCCCCUUGGUAUUCCAUGGGGCAUGCCUGUUCGAGCGUCAUUUGUACCUUCAAGCUCUGCUUGGUGUUGGGUGUUUGUCUCGCCUCUGCGUGUAGACUCGCCUCAAAACAAUUGGCAGCCGGCGUAUUGAUUUCGGAGCGCAGUACAUCUCGCGCUUUGCACUCAUAACGACGACGUCCAAAAGUACAUUUUUACACUCUUGACCUCGGAUCAGGUAUGGAUACCCGCUGAACUUAAGCAUAUCAAUAAGCGGAGGA